rnacentral:antisense_RNA from 1 species
AGAUCAGCCCUGGGGUUCAGAGGGAUCCUGACGGCUACUCCUCAAGAUCCUCUCUGUUGUGAUUCAUCCCCCCCGGGCCCUACAGUUUCUCCUUCCUGACUCUUACAUUUCUUUGGAUGGCAUCAUUAUUUUAGGUGCCAAGCACUGUGGAUUCUGCCCCUCAGUGUCCAGACACCCAUUUUCCUUCCCACUGUUCCUUCCCCAUGGAGAAGCCUGUGGCUGGCUGACAGCAGAGAGAGAUGCUCAACUUGGAGAAGGUGUUACCUGGGCCAGGUGGGGAAGGUUUGUUUGCAGAGCAAAGAAGUGAAGAUCCUCAUGUGACAGGUGACCUGCCGUAUAAUCAGAAGGAAGAAAUGUUACACAGAGAGGCUGAGAAGAAUCUGAGGACUUGCUAAGUUUUCCCCAGUUUAUUACCAUUAGAUCAUAUGCCUUUUUUGUUCAAUCAUACUUCUAUACAACUGUCCAUCAUUCAUUAAACCUAACCACAAAAGUAGUUUUCACUCGGCUUUUGAGUGAAGGCUCCUGUGUCAC